GAUGAACGCUAGCGGGAGGCUUAACACAUGCAAGUCGAGGGGUAGGGGAGCAAUCCCCGAGACCGGCGGACGGGUGCGUAACGCGUAUGCAACUUGCCUUAUACAGGGGGAUAGCCCGUGGAAACGCGGAUUAAUACCCCAUAUGUCAUUUGGGUCGCAUGGUCUGGAUGAUAAAACUGAGGUGGUAUAAGAUGGGCAUGCGUCUGAUUAGCUAGUUGGUAAGGUAACGGCUUACCAAGGCGACGAUCAGUAGGGGUUCUGAGAGGAUAAUCCCCCACACUGGUACUGAGACACGGACCAGACUCCUACGGGAGGCAGCAGUGAGGAAUAUUGGUCAAUGGGCGCGAGCCUGAACCAGCCAUUCCGCGUGAAGGAAGAAGGCCUUAUGGGUUGUAAACUUCUUUUCUGUAAGAAGAAAAGUCCCGACGUGUCGGGAUGUGACGGUAUUAUAGGAAUAAGCAUCGGCUAACUCCGUGCCAGCAGCCGCGGUAAACGGAGAGUA
rnacentral:rRNA from 1 species